rnacentral:lncRNA from 1 species
UCCGGCUCUCGACACAACCUCCAUCAUGCGGCGCACCCGGCAUGCACUUGUCAUGCUCUGGACAGGACACCAUCCUCAAUCACCCAGUUCUUGGUCCCUGCAAAGUAACCGAGAUAAGUUACAGUUAUGCUACCAUGAACGUCAUCCCACCUGUAGAUUCCUCACCUCACUGCCCACUUCAGAAGCUCAUGUCGAAAAACCAAUCAACUUCUGUGUACAAACCUCAAGGUCCUCAAUCGCAGGGAGCUACCCUUGUAGUUUGUUCAAGAGAUCCCAUACCUGCAAAUCAAUACGACAUAGUUGGCCCAAUAUCUUGCCUCGGCCAUAAUAACCAGUUCUGGUAUUUGGCAGAUCCCUAUACAUACAUGUCUGUUCUUCCCUUGGACUGCACAGUUAUUUCUAAAGGCAUCCCAAUGCCCUAUAGUUAUGAUAAAAAAGGGAGAAUAAACUGGGACACCUCAAACUUCAAGGAAACAGCAAAUAGAGUCAUCAACGAUGGUGAGACAGUAUUCAUGUGGUACUCUAGUAACAUUACUAGUAUUUGCCAACGAUGUGAAUAUGAAGGCCGACCCUGUGGUUUCAGUUCACAAAGUGGUCAAGCAUUCUGUCGGCGUCAUGGUAUUUUUUCUCUCUCUUUUUGAAGCACAAACCCCAUAUCAUUAUGGUGACUUGUUUCAUUUUCGAAUAGCAUUCAAUAUUUUUUUUCCAAUUCUCAGUACGUUAGUUAUCCAAUCUUCUAUAUUCUAAUACAGUGAUUUCAAGCUCGAUGCAAUAUUUUCACCUUGCAAUCAAACAGUUUAGCAAAAGUGAAGGUGUACUGUGAAUCACUUGAUUGCUAGCUUGGAUGAACAUUUUAGCUCUAGGUUCACAUCCGUAAUGUUCUAACAGAAGCCCCUGCAAAGAGAUGACAGUGUCUAAAAUAAUUAAAUAAUAAUUUUCCCUUUUUCUUUCGCUUCAAACCAAAGUAACUGUUCAAAAUAGUGCUUUGUUGUACACAGAUUACGGUGCACUAAUGAAAAUUCACAAACUGUACAACGUUACAUAGAAGUAUUAACAUUCAUAAAUGUUUAUCUAUACUAAUAUAAAAGAUGGUAGUGGUGGUGGUGAGUCUGCCACCACCACCAGCCAACUACCAUGCGGGACCCACGAAAUGUGAGAUAAAACUUUGAUUGUUUCGUAACCCCCACAUGCCAUAGACCCCGUCGAAAGGAAAAUAUGACAAUAGAAUAUUAUGGAAUUUUUCAUCUUUGCGAAAUGGCAGCAAAAUUAGCACAAUAAUAAUAUACUAGACAAUUAGAAAAAACCCGUUGCAAUGCACGGACAUUAUGCUAGUAUGAUAUAACACUGUUCUCUGUAUUUCAGCAAAAACAAAAAAAAGAAAAGAAAAACAUAUGUACAAUCCAUUUGAUGGACCUGAAUUUAUGUGACAACUCCAAUAACUUAUAAGACAAGUUGAAAGUUAAUAUUACUACAGUAGGAAACAAUAAUGUACCAGUAUCAUAUAGACUAUGACUCUAUGAGCAGAGAGAUUAUAUGGUGCCAACAGAGUAGAGAUCUCACUUGAUAAUGCAGUGAUAAGGGGUAUGUGGUUUCAACCCCGAGGUCCCGUGUUCAAUCCCCAGUAUGCUCACAAUUUCUUCUUAAAAAUUUUUUGGAGGGACGUCUCUCCCUCCAAAUCUCCUUUUUUUUUUGGGUGCUAACAGAGUAGAAUCCAGAACAUGCUUUGCAGACUGCAGUGAUCUGUGAGAUCAUUAUAUUAGAUAUUCCAUCCUUCUAAAUAAUUUAAACUAAAGCAUUUCUCUUUUUAUGGUUGGUUAAGAUAAGAAUCCUCCCUCCCAUCCUAUUCCCUUUUAUGACUACUAGCUAAAUGCCCGUGCUUUGCUGCGGAUAAAAGGAAAAAUAUAACAAUAUUUUAUAACAUAAAUAAAUCAUAUUUUCCAUGAAAUAUGUUAUCCACAUUUCCCCUAUAGGAAAAUGUGGGCUAUCCACAUUAAUUUUAUAUGUGGCUAUCCAUUUAGAUUUAGUUGUUAUGUAAUAUUAAAAAGUUCAAAGGGUAAUAUGUAAAACUUGUAAUAGGAGUAGGUGGGUGGAAAAUUCACUGCCACCACCAUUGGAAUCUUUUUAAAGGAGUAUAGAUACCCAUGCAAGUUUUAAAAUUCUAUACAGCAAGCCAUAUAAAAAUCUGGAAUCAGUUUUACUUUUAUUUUAAAAAAACAUCCUUUUUAUAUACAAAUCAAGGGAAUACUAAUUCUCUUUCUUUCUACAUGCAGGACCGCGGGUCACUCUUGUUGCAGGUAAGGAAAUAACUCAAUCUUUUGUCCAUUCUGCAUGAAAUUUCAAUUAAAUGCCACCCAAUUUAUGAACUUUCAACAAAGAGAGUGUAUAUAUUUUCUAAUCCAAAUAAGAAAUGCCAUGAUUAUCUUGACAAUAAAGGCACAUCUGGAAAAUAAAUUACAGAAUUAUGUCAUCUCCAAAUGCAGCUAACUAACUUUCUUAUUUUUCAAUCAGCUACAUCAUCUGUAGCCACAUUUGUAAUUCUUUCAUUAGUUGUGGCCACUGCAUUCUACAUCUCCUUAAAGUCAAGGUACAACAAAGAGAUACAUUUGAAAGUUGAAAUGUUUCUCAAGACAUAUGGCACAUCCAAGCCCAUGAGGUACACUUUCUCCGAUGUUAAGAAAAUAACAAGACGGUUCAAGAAUAAAUUAGGCCAUGGUGGAUUUGGAAGUGUCUACAAAGGUGAGCUACCAAAUGGAGUUCCUGUGGCAGUCAAGAUGCUAGAGAACUCCUUAGGAGAGGGAGAAGAGUUCAUCAAUGAAGUUGCGACCAUUGGGAGAAUUCACCAUGCAAACAUCGUCCGUCUCCUAGGAUUUUGCUCUGAAGGAACACGACGGGCUUUAAUAUAUGAAUUCAUGCCCAAUGAAUCGUUGGAGAAAUAUAUAUUCUCAAAUGGUUCUAAUAUUUCAAGAGAAUUCCUAGUACCAAAGAAAAUGCUAGAUAUUGCUUUAGGCAUCGCCCGAGGAAUGGAGUACUUGCACCAAGGGUGCAAUCAGCGCAUUCUCCAUUUUGACAUCAAGCCUCACAACAUAUUGUUGGACUACAGCUUCAGUCCAAAGAUCUCAGACUUUGGGCUUGCAAAGUUGUGCGCAAGAGAUCAAAGCAUUGUCACAUUAACUGCAGCAAGGGGCACGAUGGGUUAUAUUGCACCAGAACUAUAUUCUCGGAGUUUUGGAGCAAUAUCAUACAAGUCGGAUGUCUACAGUUUCGGCAUGCUGGUGUUAGAAAUGGUGAGUGGGAGGAGGAACACAGACCCAACCGUUGAGAACCAAAAUGAGUUCUACUUUCCUGAGUGGAUAUAUGAGAGAGUAAUCAAUGGGCAGGAACUGGUGCUUAACAUGGAGACAACACAAGGGGAGAAAGAAACGGUUAGACAGCUAGCCAUUGUAGCGUUAUGGUGCAUUCAGUGGAACCCAACAAACCGGCCCUCGAUGACAAAGGUAGUAAACAUGUUAACGGGGAGGUUGCAGAAACUACAGGUGCCGCCUAAGCCCUUCAUUUCGUCUGAAAAUCAUCUUGCGACUUAGAUCAUGGAAACACAAUUCCAUGGUUUAGAGAUAUGUUUGAUCGAUCCGUAGCUUGUAUGUAUGGUGUAAGAUUAUUCAACUAUAUUGUGCUAUCAGACAUAUGGUAUAUGUAUUCAUGCAAUUCUAAUAUCCCGUGGAUUUGAUUUGCAGUGUGAUAGUUAAAAGAUGAUAACUUGAUUACCUUAUUCUGUCAUUGCUACCAGUGCACUAAUCCUCCUCGCUGAGCACACAUUUUUCGUACCCAUCUCAUCCCCACACUGCCAAUCUACUAACUGUCCUUGUUCUUACCCAUCCCAUCCCCACAAAGGAUCCUGCAGCGCAGGCAACUGAUUAUCUCAUCUCAUGUUCACUCCUGGUAUUGCAUAAUUUAGAACAGAAAAAGAAAAAAAAAAAGCAGCACGACAAAGGGAAAAGGGGUUACCAUUUAGCAAGGCACGAGCAUCCGCAGGAGGUCUCGGAGAGUGUAGAAUGCGGGAGGGGAUUAGAGAAUAUGAUUAAACGUGGUAUCGGGCUUGUUAGAGAUUCCACCGGUCGCUAGC